rnacentral:lncRNA from 1 species
CUUUCGGGGGAUAUGCUCAAGGUAUUAUAUUAGUAUUAGGGCAGAAAUUUAGUUAUUAUAUUUAUUAUACAAAGUGGAGGAUUAAUUUAGUAGGAGGGUGUUAAGAUUUUUUAGAAAAAUUACAUCAAUCGAGGGGUAGCUGUUGAGGCGUUCAUGGUUAAAAUAUGAUUUCUGGGCUCUGACUGGGCUGCAUUUUAGUCUUUUGUUUUUGGGGUUUGGCAAGGAUACAUUUAGCUAGGUUGAUAGUAAAGUCAGAGAUGCGGGGAGGGGGUAUUGCAGAUUUAAUCGGAAAUAGUUCUUGAAAUUCAGAGUGCAUGCGACGGGCGUGAGCGUCGGUACGGGCGUGAGCGUCGGUACGGGCGUGAGCGUCGGUACGGGCGUGAGCGUCGGUACGGGCGUGAGCGUCGGUACGGGCGUGAGCGUCGGUACGGGCGUGAGCGUCGGUACAGGCUUGCGUGUCUAUUAAUUGUUAUGUCCUUCAAGCAUGAAUUAAGUAACACCUUCUGGUUAUAAUGCCAGCCUGGAAUAUGAAUAUAAGGUUAGCUUCUACAAUUGAUUUGGCAGGAAUCAAAUCCGAGUUCCUCUACUGCGGAUUCGGCAGGGACCAGAAAAGGGAGUAACAGAAGAAAAAACUCACCUUUCUUCAAGAAAUAUUCCAACUGCUCUGCAUCUGUGAACAUGCUCUGCCUUCACUCCUGUCACUGAAGAUCCUUCACUGCACAGCUCUUUACCUCUACUCAACGGAAACAGAGCAUAAAGCCUUGGAAAAUUUACUGCCAGAUCAUGUGAUG